UGCCUACGGGGCGCAGCAGUAGGGAAUCUUCCACGAUGGACGAAAGUCUGAUGGAGCAACGCCGCGUGAGUGAAGAAGGGUUUCGGCUCGUAAAGCUCUUUUGGUAGUGAAGAAAGAUAGAGGUAGUAACUGGCCUUUAUUUGACGGUAAUUACUUAGAAAGUCACGGCUAACUACGUUCCAGCAGCCGCGGUAAUACGUAGGUGGCAAGCGUUGUCCGGCUUUAUUGGGCGUAAA
rnacentral:rRNA from 1 species